GAAACAUAUCCCAAACUUUUUCUUAUAUAUGAAGGUCACGAUCUAAACCAAAAUUCGCCUUUGAGGUAGACGGCAAUCAAAAUAAUUAAUUAUUUCACAUUCGAGUCUGUAUUGGAGAACGUCCUCUCCCCAAAAAAGAGAAGACGACUACCGCAAGGUUUUAGCCAAUCAGAGUGCGUUGCCUAAAAUAGCACUCGUACACUAGGAGAAACAAAUAUGGCGCGGUGGAGUUCGAAAUCGAGAGUAGGCCUAUUGUUGAUGAGGCAAGCAGUCAGAGCAGUCCAGAACUAGAGGGUAAAGAGCUCCCUGAGCAUACUAUCUUCUGAUGUCAGCCUCAUUAGAAAAAAAGCCCUGUAUAAAGGUUUAGUAGAGUUGGCAGUGAUACAUAGCACUUCUAGGUCCAGUAGUACAAGGCUUGGAAGAGGUGUGAGAUCAGGAGGAUUGACUCAAGAACAUGAAAGGAGAAUUCAGUAACUCACAGAAGAGAGCAUACAUGAUGGUGUUGCCAAGAAAAUGAUGGUGUUGCCAAGGAAAGUGCUGAAUACAUUGUGACAAGUGUGAUGGAAAUCCUGGCCUUGCACUGGAUAUAAAGAUGCUUUUGCUAGAGAAUUUACCAAGCAAUGACUCAGCAUCAGUGGAGAUGGGACUGGCCCAUCUCCCACUCACUGUAAUGUCCCCUACAUUUUGACUGCCGUUGAAUUUGCUGGAUUACUUCACUUUGAAGAGAUUCUUUUCAUUCUACUGUAAUUUGUGCAACCAUUCAGUGAACAUAAAAAAUAAAGGCAUAGAAAAACAA
rnacentral:lncRNA from 1 species